rnacentral:tRNA from 1 species
GGCGCCAUCUUCUAACUAGGUCUAGGAAACUGGUCUUUCACAUCAGUAAUAUGGGUUCGAGUCCCGUUGGCGUCA